rnacentral:rRNA from 1 species
AACGAACGCUGGCGGCAGGCUUAACACAUGCAAGUCGAACGCCCCUUCGGGGGAGUGGCAGACGGGUGAGUAACGCGUGGGAACCUACCUUUCGGUACGGAACAACAGUUGGAAACGACUGCUAAUACCGUAUACGUCCUUCGGGAGAAAGAUUUAUCGCCGAUAGAGGGGCCCGCGUUGGAUUAGCUUGUUGGUGAGGUAAUGGCUCACCAAGGCGACGAUCCAUAGCUGGUCUGAGAGGAUGAUCAGCCACACUGGGACUUAGACACGGCCCAGACUCCUACGGGAGGCAGCAGUGGGGAAUAUUGGACAAUGGGCGAAAGCCUGAUCCAGCCAUGCCGCGUGAGUGAUGACGGCCUUAGGGUUGUAAAGCUCUUUCAGUGGUGAAGAUAAUGACGGUAACCACAGAAGAAGCCCCGGCUAACUCCGUGCCAGCAGCCGCGGUAAUACGGAGGGGCAAGCGUUGUUCGGAAUUACUGGGCGUAAAGCGCGCGUA